UACGUAAGUGUGCAGGGAUGGACCUAAGAUCUACAGCAAUGAUCUCUGUUGCACUGUCUCAUCCCUCAGGUCUUCGGAGGAGGACAGGGAGGCUCUGGCGGCUAUGGUGACAUCAGGGAAAUAAGCAAAGAGGGCAGUCACCUAGUUGGCGGCCCCCAAGACAAUUAUCAGUGGCAAGGGUCCAGUGGAAGAGGUGAAGCUGUCAGUGGGAUCAAUACCUUGGUGAGUGGAGGCAUC
rnacentral:lncRNA from 1 species